rnacentral:rRNA from 1 species
GUUGAACGCUGGCGGCAUGCCUUACACAUGCAAGUCGAACGGCAGCACGGGGGGCAACCCUGGUGGCGAGUGGCGAACGGGUGAGUAAUGCAUCGGAACGUGCCCCGUAGCGGGGGAUAACCAGUCGAAAGACUGGCUAAUACCGCAUACGCUCCACGGAGGAAAGCAGGGGAUCGCAAGACCUUGCACUAUGGGAGCGGCCGAUGCCCGAUUAGCUAGUUGGUGAGGAAAGGCUCACCAAGGCGACGAUCGGUAGCUGGUUUGAGAGAACGACCAGCCACACUGGGACUGAGACACGGCCCAGACUCCUACGGGAGGCAGCAGUGGGGAAUUUUGGACAAUGGGCGCAAGCCUGAUCCAGCCAUGCCGCGUGCGGGAUGAAGGCCU